rnacentral:tRNA from 1 species
GCCGCUGUAGCUCAGACCUGGUAGAGCACCGGACCGAAAAUCCGGGUCGCGCAAGUUCGAAUCUUGCCGGCGGCACCA